UGAGAGCUUCCCGGAGAGCCGGAGAGGAGGAAAAGAGGUCGGAAAUCCUUAAUCAGCGCAGCAUCGCUUUGCCUCUGGUUGAGUCUCUGAGCCAGUCGGGAGAUCCUGCUCUCGGAUCUGAUGAGAGAAAGUCCGAAACAGGCAUCUAAUCCCCAACACGACAACAAGCCGGCGUCCUGACCGUCACGAGUGGACCUGAGCUGGAUCCACAGUUGCAGAUACGCUGGUGACGAAUCCCCUCAGUGCAGCCGGGGUGAAGUUACCCAACCAUUCCAGCUGGAGAUAAAGACAAGUUUGAGGAAAGAAAAGGGGAUGAUUCACACGACCACAUGGACUGACAGCUAAGUGACAGACAAGACACAUUUUCCUGCAGUACUACACUCUCACCCACCUCUCCAAUGCAACCACAUAAAUGCCAUCCUGUGUUAAUUCAAACGAAAACUUCUGAGAAAAGAAAGACACUGAAGAAAUAAUAAGGUGAUGGAAAAAGGUGAAUGGAACCGGCUACAAUUUGACAACGGUAUUCAGCUUAAAGAUUUAGGGCUGUGUUCUUUAUUAAAGCCAAUGAAUAUAUGCCAACAUGAAAGACAGCUUCAAUUGUUCCUUAUCUAACAUUAAACUUGUGACGUACAGCCACAGACACUGUAAUUUAUUGGGUUACUCAACUUGUCUUUCACAAACAACUUUUUGUUAUUAGGUUAUGCGAAUUGGCAAACAAAAACAAUGAUCAAGUGCCUAAUAAACAAUGUUAAUACAUUUUAUUUUCACUUUUAGAUAAGAAACAAAUUGAAAUAAUAAAAUGCUGUCCAAAAUGGCUCACUCAUCAACUGUUACCUAUGCAUCAAAUGAAUCGUGUGUCAAAUGAAAGAACAUAUGAAUAACAAUCAAAUUUGAAGGAACACUCCACUUUUUUGGAAAACAGGCCCAUUUUCCAACUCCCCUAGAGUUAAACAGUUGAGUUUUACCAUUUUUUAAUCCAUUCAGCCGAUCUUUGGGUCUGGCGGUAGCACUUUUAGCUUAGCUAAAAUCAUUGAAUCAGAGUAGAUCGUUAGCAUCUCGCUCAAAAUUAACCAAAGAGUUUUUAUAUUUUUCCUAGUCAAAACUUGACUCUUCUGUAGUUACAUCAUGUACUAAGACUGAUAGGCUGAUGUUAGGGGUGGGAGAAAAAAUUGGUUCUCCAAUGCAUCGCGAUUCUCUCUUCAACGAUUCUGAAUAUUUAAAAAUCGAUUCUGAGGUUGGCUAGAGACAUGGCGGGCUUCACUGCACAGAAUUUGCGCUGUGAGAAGCGUCUUUCACACCGAACACGGGUUCAGCGCAGCCCUUCAGACUAUUCAACUAUUUUGAACUUUAAGCACGGCGUGCACGUGUGCUUUGCUCGAUGCAGAAACAAACAGUCCUCACGCGCCACAAUAGAAAUGGGUUUCAUAACGCUUUCCGCGUUCGGUGUGAAAGCCGCUAGACACGUGCGCAUUGCUUUACAGUGUGUGCUUUCACCUGUCGUGUUUUACUUUAGAUAUGCUUUCAUUAACGCCGUUUGGAAUGCAGUACUAUUAGAUGCACGAAACUCACGCACUGAUGGACUUAUACGUGUGCUUUGUGUUUUUUGUUCUGAAGAUCUAUUGCGGCUGGGUUAAAUGCAUUUGCAUUUUCGAAUACUUUUAUACUUUCACACAGUCAGUUAUGUUUUCAGAGCAGGACAAAACAUCUGAUACAUGGAAAUAGAUCUGUGCAUUAGUGUGAAUGCAGUCUGUUAAAGCUGCGAUGAUCCCAUCAGUAUAUUAAUCAGUAAAUCAGGCUUGAAAAUGAAAAUAAGCUGAUUUUCAAAAAAUGUGGAGUGUUCCUUUAAGAGUCAAAUUUACUGAUGUAAAUACAAAACUUUUUUGCUUUCUUGUUUUGUGAAUGGUAUGUUUAUGAUAAUAAAUUAGU